UCAAAAAAAGAUGAUCUCUCGUCCUGUGCUUGCUGUUCUUCUUUGAAAGAGGAAUUGACAAUGAUUUCUUAUUCUGUGCUUUUGUGCUUGCUGAUUGUUUUGGUUUUCUGUGUAGAUAUGGUUUCUUUAUAUCCCCAACAACAAUAGAUGUUAAGAUAGAGUUUGUGAUUAUGAAGAGUCAAUGCAUGAAGAUGACUCACGAACUACUUGAAUUCCGAAACAAGCAGAUUCGAACAAGAAUUCUUCAAAUUCAUUUGGAUAAAACUUCACACCUGUUAAAAGUGGUUCAGCCUUCAAGUUUGGCAGCAGCUGGGGCAAGUUGGGCUUCCAUAUUUAUGUGUCGCGUCUUGGCCUAUAGGCCUAACAGAAGACUUUAAUGAGCAGUACAACUUGAUACCAAUAUAUUGAAGGGCUGAUCAUGUGUUUUUGG
rnacentral:lncRNA from 1 species